AGUCGAGCGAUGAAGUUUCUUCGGAAAUGGAUUAGCGGCGAACGGGUGAGGAACACGUGAAGAAUCUGCCCUCCACUUUGGGAUAACACCGGGAAACCGGUGCUAAUACCGAAUAUUGAAACAUAAGUGGCAUCACUGAGUUUUGAAAGAAUUUCGGUGGAGGAUGACUUCGCGGCCUAUCAGCUAGUUGGUGAGGUAAUGGCUCACCAAGGCAACGACGGGUAGCCGGCCUGAGAGGGCGACCGGCCACACUGGGACUGAGACACGGCCCAGACCCCUACGGGAGGCAGCAGUGGGGAAUAUUGGGCAAUGGAGGAAACUCUGACCCAGCGACGCCGCGUGCGGGAUGAAGGCCUUCGGGUUGUAAACCGCUUUCAGUAGGGAAGAAGCGAAAGUGACGGUACCUACAAAAGAAGCACCGGCUAACUAUGUGCCAGCAGCCGCGGUAAUACAUAGGGUGCAAGCGUUGUCCGGAAUUAUUGGGCGUAAAGAGCUCGUAGGUCGUUUGUUACGUCAGAUGUGAAAACCUGAGGCUCAACCUCAGGCCUGCAUUCGAUACGGGCAAACUAGAGUUUGGUAGGGGAGACUGGAAUUCCUGGUGUAGCGGUGGAAUGCGCAGAUAUCAGGAGGAACACCAAUGGCGAAGGCAGGUCUCUGGGCCAAUACUGACACUGAGGAGCGAAAGUCUGGGGAGCGAACAGGAUUAGAUACCCUGGUAGUCCAGACCGUAAACGGUGGGCACUAGUUGUGGGAACCUUCCACGGUUUCUGCGACGCAGCUAACGCAUUAAGUGCCCCGCCUGGGGAGUACGAUCGCAAGAUUAAA
rnacentral:rRNA from 1 species